rnacentral:rRNA from 1 species
UACGUAGGCAGCGAGCGUUUGUUCGGAAUUACUGGGCGUAAAGGGUGCGUAGGCGGUUUGGUAAGUCUGAUGUGAAAUCUAUGGGCUCAACUCAUAGUCUGCAUCGGAAACUGCCGGGCUUGAGUGUGGGAGAGGUGAGUGGAAUUCCUGGUGUAGCGGUGAAAUGCGUAGAUAUCAGGAGGAACACCUGUGGCGAAAGCGGCUCACUGGACCAUAACUGACGCUGAUGCACGAAAAGCUAGGGGAGCAAACAGG